GUCUCUGGGUUCCAUGGCGCCUCCUUCCACCUCCCUCUCUCCAGUCCACUUCAUGCACCUGUCUCUCAACCGACUUGAACUCCUCAGGGUUCCCUGCAAGAGUCUCCUACUACUACUUCCUCCCCAGGGACAUCCUUUCUCUUGUCUUUGUAUUUCAAAUCCUUUACACGCCAGCCGCAGUGCUACCUCUCCAUUGGCGUAAAAAUUCUUCCUGCCAGGAAACGAUCUCUCCGCACACAUUUCCCCCUUGACACUUUGUCUUUGCAGUCUCAGUACUUAGCUCCUCCACCUUACAGACCUUUAUGAGUAGGUCUCACCUCCCCUUCUGGCCUGUGCGCUCAUUUGCUUUUGGAGUCCUCCUCUUGACACACAAACGCCUCGCCUUUGUCCGAGGUUCCAUGUAGAAUCUACCUGCUUUGGAGUUUCACCUGUUGGUUCCAAUGGCAAAGGAUGCAGGAGAGAUGCUUGUCAAGACUGCAGUGUGCUCUCACGGAUGAUCAUUGCUGGCUAAAAAUAAAAUAAACUGAAGUGGAAUUAAGGGGAAGAAACCAGUAAAUGGCAUUCAGCUAUUCCCACACCUCCUGAUGCUGAGGGUCCAUGAGGCGCAGUGUGUCUCUGAUCACGGCCACCUUCACCUCUUCAUCCACCAGGCUUGGGAUAUUUUCAAACACCCCUGGAGAGAGCUUGGAAGGCUUUUCGUUAUGUGAAGGGUUACUAGCAGUCCGUCAGUUUUUCUCCUGGCCUUUUCCACUCUCCUCUGUUAAGUUGCUUCUUGGCUACAUCUCUGGAAGCCUCAGGCCACCUUUCUCAACCUGGAGUGUGUAUGAAGGAAUGGAAAUCAGUAGAAAAUGCUGCAUGUAUUACAGAUCUGCUCAAUAAUAAAUGACAAGUGGAGAUGAGUGAUGAGGCCUUCAAGAGACGCCAUGACACCAGCAGUGUAACUUCGGACCUAGCCUGAACCAUGUGUGCAGAUGAGGCCGAGGACAAUGGCUGGCCACUGUGCCGGCACUGGGCAUCCGACUGCCUCCCUGGCUCCCUGCUGCAUGCACAAGCCUCUAGAAGCUUCUAAUUGAGUUGAAGAUGGUCCUGAGCAACCUGUAGACUCUCACAAAGGUUUCAAGCUACAUUCCACAGACAGAGUUCUCCUCUGAUGAACAGGAGAGAGCAGAGUAGGCUGGCCAAGAUGUAGAGAGAAGGUUCUUCUCGGCUCUUAAGAAGGCUCUUCCCCACGUUUGGAACCAAGCACACCCCCCUGGGUCCCCACUGAGAGGCCUGAGCUGGGUGUGGACCAAGGUACCUGAUUCCUCCAGGCUAUGGCUUGCUUCAUGGUGUUCCCCUGGAGCUCACAUGCUGGAAACUUAACCCCCAUGUGCACAUAUUUGAUGGAAACUCAAGGUGGAAACUUAGCAGGAUUCCAGAAUGGAACUUCACAAGAGAUCAAUGCGGACUCCCGGCCCUCCACAGAGCCUGUCCAGCAACAGUGACCUUGAUGUUUAUGUCGUUAUUUAAUACUCAUCCAAGGCAUCCACAUGCGUGGCCCUUACAGUAAAUAUGAGUGCAAUGGACAAACGGCAGCCGUGGAUCAGCCAGUGAAAAAUGUCAGGCUUGCAUUGAUGGGUCACUUCUGCCUCUGCAAAGCCUUUUCUAGGCCAGUGAUACCAACGGUCCAAUAUAUUAUCAGGAGUGAUGUUUUCUCCUUUGAAUUUGGGGUAUGUGCCUUAAAUAAAUUAAAGUACAUGGUCAA